rnacentral:sRNA from 1 species
ACUUAUCUGCUGCCUGUUAACUGUGCCUGUGUUGGCUGUUUAUUCAACUUUAUUUCUGGAUUAGAUUCAUAUUUCAUAAUGAAUUGGGUUCAGGGAUGAUCACUUUCAAGCUGCAGGCAAUGGUCGAGACAGUUAACAACCUCCUUCAACCACAAGCUUUGAAUGCAUGGAGAGACCUGACUACGAGCGAUCAGCUGCGUGCGGCCACCAUGUUGCUUCAUACUGUGGAGGAAAGUGCUUUUGUGCUGGCUGAUAACCUUUUGAAGACUGACAUUGUCAGGGAGAACACAGACAAUAUUAAAUUGGAAGUUGCAAGACUGAGCACAGAAGGAAGCUUAGAAGACCUAAAAUUUCCAGAAAACAUGGGCCACGGAAGCACUAUCCAGUUGUCUGCAAAUACUUUAAAGCAAAAUGGCCGAAAUGGAGAGAUCAGAGUGGCCUUUGUCCUGUAUAACAACUUGGGUCCUUAUUUGUCCACGGAGAAUGCCAGUAUGAAGUUGGGAACGGAAGCUUUGUCGACAAAUCAUUCUGUUAUUGUCAAUUCCCCUGUUAUUACGGCAGCAAUAAACAAAGAGUUCAGUAACAAG